GCUGGCUCCUAGCCACAACUGUUCUCCCUUGCUUUUCUGUCUCAUUCUCUCCCUUCUGCCUCACCAGAUCCUCAUAAAACAAAUUUCCUAAACCUGCAGUGGACACAGAGGGGUCCAGGUCCAAGCCCUUGGAGGCAGCGGGCCUCCUCCACCAUGGUGAGAAUGUGAUCAGAACUGCUGGGAACCCCGUGGUCUGGCCAGGACAUAUACUGUAGCUGGUGCACAGAGCGGAAUUCCUGAGACGGGAACAGAGAGUGGAAAAAAGAAAAAAAGAAAAAAAACAUGUUUAUUGAUCACCUACUAUAGUUCUAAGCUUAUUCCAUUUAAAUCCACCAGAUAAGGAAGGAGACUAAGAGGAUUUGCAUAGCAUGCACAAGGCUGUGGGCUCCACCCUCAGCACCAUAGAGACAAGCAAGUCCAUUGUGUGCUAACUGAGGGUGACAGGAACGGACUGGAAUCAUGAGUUUCCAUUUACAGGAGAAGAGACAGCUCGUCCCAUGCAAGAGUCCCUUCACCUUUUAACGUUUUGGUACCUUCUGGAAUGUAACCUGGAGGGUCCUGAGAGUGAUGUCUGCAUUCAGUGUUGUCUCCUUUGUCUAUGCGCCAUGUGAGAAGGGGACAGAGGAAACAGAAGAGAAAUAGAGAUCUUAAUAACACACUUCACAUUUCUAGAAAGCAAAGGUUUGGUUUUGCUUUGGAGACAAGCCUUGCUGUAGAGCGCAGACUGGCCUCAAACCAGAGAUCCUCUUCGGGAUCCGCCUUUCAUGUGCUGGGAUGGCAGGCGUGCACUAUCUUGCCUGAUGAAAGUAAAGCAUUUUUUUUAAUAUUUAUUUAUUUACUAUAUGUAAGUACACUGUAGCUGUCUUCAGACACUCCAGAAGAGAGCAUCAGAUUUCAUUACGGGUGGUUGUGAACCACCAUGUGGUUUCUGGGAUUUGAACUCAGGACCUUUGGAAGAGCAGUCGGCACUCUUAACCGCUGAGCCAUCUCACCAGCCCCAGUAAAGCAUUCUUAAUUGAAAAUCAAACACUAAAAACAUUUUUAAAACUCUUAGGCCUGCGGUGCCGUCUUGCAUUCCCAGGAUUCCUGGCUUAGCCAGUGGUUGAGACUGGAGACCUUGCUGGGCACGUCCUACAGGUCAGACUCUGGUGGACAAGCUUGUGUGUCUGAUUCCCAUUCCUCGGGAAUUACAUUUUAUAAAAGUUUUAUAUUUAUAUUUUUAUAUUUAUGUUUUAUUAUAUUUUUGCUUCCUUUUUCAUUCUUUUUUUUUUUUAAAGGUUUAUUUAUUUAUUAUAUGUAAGUACACUGUAGCUGUCUUCAGACACUCCAGAAGAGGGCAUCAGAUCUCGUUAUGGAUGGUUGUGAGCCACCAUGUGUGGUUGCUGGGAUUUGAACUCCUGACCUUCGGAAGAGCAGUCGGGUGCUCUUACCCACUGAGCCAUCUCACCAGCCCCCCUUUUUCAUUCUUAUUAUGGGUUUUUUUUUAACCUCAAAAGAAUUUUUUUAAAUGGUUUCACAACCAAUGAUGAUAUAUCCAUUAGGUACUAUGCUACUGUAAAUGUAGCCAUAUAUUUUUAAUUCAAAUAAAUUUCUAUACUGA
rnacentral:lncRNA from 1 species